rnacentral:lncRNA from 1 species
GGUAAACAUUGUCUCCCAACUCUACUUGUUACCAUUGGUCUUAGAUCCAUAGUUCGGGACCCCCUAACUGAGAUCCGCCGGUUUAGCUCCGACAUUGGUUGCCCAUACAUGUAUAGCUGUGUUGUUGACCCGGAUUAAUGGUUCGUCUUUAGAUUAGCGUUCACAUUGGCAGCAGAGGCAUCUUCGCUCCCAACCAACUUUUCACGCUUGGAAGCGUGGUCCUCAACAUGGGCUCCACCGGCCAUCUUGACCGGGUUGAGAACUUCACGCCCGAUCAAGUGGUCAUGUUUGGAAGCUUGAAGUACACCACCGACACCCGUUUCGAUCUCUCCCUCUCUGGCUAGACCUCGGGUAGGUUGGAGCACUCAUUGGAUACCACGGCUAUGACCCUGGAACUGAUCCCCAACCCAGCAGCCGACACCUUCGAAGAUACGGCCUUGAGCAUGGAUCUAUCCCUCUCCAUCAUAGAUUGCAACAUUGAGCCCGACCCGACUUGGGACUUAGUGUUGAGCUCGGAUCCGAUUGCCUACGAGAUCAACUCGGUUAUGGCUGGACAAUGGACCCAACCAAACUCUCGCUUUUAAACGAGAUGUUAGAUCGAAUCCAGAUCAUCGGGAUCUCGGACGUCAAGACCUCGACCACGUCCCACCCACCAUCCACCUAGUCGCUAUAUUGAUGAUUUACCCGACGUCCUCGACUACGCGUCAAAAGAAGCCGAAUUGGAAGAAGACGUCGGGGAUAGAACGGGCGCAAUGAAAAAACUGUACUAGCAGUUGGGUAACAACUUGCACCGGCGACGUCUACAUGGUGGAUACCGCCCGGGACGACGAAGGAGGAGAGGACGGCCGCCCCUCCACGUAGCGGCCUUGCCGUAAAAUAAUUCCGGAUGCCUCUCAAGCCUACGCAGCAGCUCGUGUGGAUACCACACACACAUUUUACUCUCUGGAUGUAUGGACGAUCUCUGUUCACUGCUGCUAGAGGAUUUCGAAAC